rnacentral:misc_RNA from 1 species
AAACCCACCUGCACGACACAACCUGCAACCUCACACGAGGGUGUACAACAACGUAAACGCGAGGGUCCCAUCCGCCGUAGAACUACGAAGUAUACUGUACCAUCAACUGCACCCUUUUUCGUACGUGUUACCGCCCUCGUCGCACCACGUUGACCCUCCCUCCUCCCCUCCUCAUUCCUCAUCAGCGCAGCACAGGCUCCACAGGCAGCAGUCGUGCCUCUUGUGUGUGCCUGUGUGGGUGUAGGUAUGUAUGUGUGCUUGUGACCGAAAGCAGCAGACAAAACCAAAAAGAAAAGGGAACGUCCCAUCUGCCCAGCAGCCCCACCGCCUCUCCCAUCGCCUUCAUUGUCGUGUUAUACACCCUCGUCUUUUUUUUCUUGUGUGUGCCGGUGACUCACUCUCUCCGCGAGGGUGUUCCUGUGGCUUUUUGCUCGCCUCCGUCUACGACAUCCGCCGACUCCACUGUCUUCUCAUCCCUACACUCACAGCCCUUCUCUCCGCCUCUGUGCCGUUCCUCGUACACGAACCCUCACGCACAGCAGCUUCUACGAGUGUCUGUGUACGUGUGCGUGUGCGUGCGCGUCUGCCCGUGUCGUUGAGAAGUUAGACUUCUUUUCUGGUUUUUCGUUUAUUUGCGUCCCUUUCUCUCUCUGAGCCGACCCGAUAGAAGACGUUGCACGCAGAAGCGAUAGAUCAAGAUGGGGCGCUGCAUUCGUCGAGUGUCUUCGGCGGCAGCAGCAGCGCUGCUGAUUGCACUUGCCGCCGCCGCCGCCGUUGCUACCACCACGGCACGUGCGUACGAUCAUGCGGGCAUCACGGUGGCCGGGGCCCUACUGGUAGGGCAGAACCUGCAGGGCAAGGCAGGUGCAAGCCGCAUUCUGAACCCCUUCGCGAUCUGUGCCGACUUCGACACCGCAGACGUGGAGGACACGACGCUCCUCAUCGGCGGUGCAUCGUACUUCUUCAGCUUCAACCGCUACAGCACCUAUCUGGGCUUCUGGUACGGCCAGGGUUCGAUGAACUUGAACAGCGGGCCAAUCGACAAGGUCCGGCUGACCGGCGUGUUCGGCUGCGUGACGCUGCGGCCCAACUCUAGCAACGGUUUGGUCACCUCUACCGUCUACUACGUGCAGAACGACGGCAUGCUGUACUGGGUGUCGAACAGUGUUGUGUACCUGACGCAGGUGAAGCACGGCAUCAGCUUCGUCGACGUGACCGUGCACGACAACAACGUCUAUCUUCUCAGCACUCAGAAUGGCAUCUACCAGUGCGGCAUAGGCGCCGGUGGCGCCGUGGUGGGGUCAGCCUGCACGCAGAUCACCCUCACCGGGAGUACCGAGUUCCAUCAACUCAUCCCGAUCUCCUCGGACUUCAGGGGCUUCGCGGUGUCGUCGAGUGGCAUCUUCAUCACGCCGACCUCGGAUCUGUACUGGUUUAACCUCUCCGGUGCCUUCAUUGCAAAGUCGGUCGGUGUCACAUUUGUCGACACCAAGUUCACAAGCAGCAGGGACACCGCGAACAGAGGAACCUCGGUUUUGAUGGCGGCCUCGACGAGCGCAGUGUACACCGUCACCACCUCUGACGCGACGAUCUCGUACGCCCUCGUCUCUGGUAAGGAGGUCAAGUCGUGCAACCCAGCGCUGAACAAUGUCGACUCCGAUACGAGCCCAACUUUCUGCGGCAUCGCCCGCAUCUACCCCUUGAGUACUGACAUGGUGUACAUGACAACCGGCGGUGCGAGUGUUGUUCGUGCCAUCAUAGUGAGCAACACCACCGUCAGCGACACUAUCACCCGCACCCCUUUCCCGGUGUACUUCCUGGACAACUCCUCGAUCAUGCCACUGAUACUGGAUGGCAUGGACUACGAGCUCGUGAGCAACUCGAACAUUCCUUUCCCGUACGUGGCGAUCAACCACUCCACUCCGAAAGUGGACGACAGCACGUGGGACACCAUCUUUUCCGUGGAUGUGUCGAAUCGCUUCUUUUCAACGGUGUCAAGAGCGGCGGUCAUCGGCACACCGUUCAUGAGCUCGCUGCACGGGUUGCAGGCGUACUACAACCGCACGAACCACAUCCUCUUUGGUGACCCAAAUGUGCUGCCCAUGUGCAACCUCACCAAGAUGCAAAUGAUCGAGCGCGCCGUGGCCGCUGAUGCCCGCGCCGCCCUGCAGUACCCGUACAUCUACACGUCGAAAGCACAGAACUUCACAGUAAACGCGCAUCCGAACUUGACGCUGCUGAAGCUGCUGAUGCCGUACCCCUUCGGCGAGAUCCUGAACGAGUCCGGCUUCUUCGAGAACACGACGACCCCUGCGUCGCUCGCGAACGUUCACUUCAACACGACGAUGCUUGCGGCCGUGCGCAACGCCUACACGCCGGACUUCGUGUAUGAUUGUAUUUUCGCCGGCAACGCGUUCCCCUUCCACAUCCUCACUGCAGCGCAGCAGCAGCUGGUGCGGUGGAUCAUCUACACGGCGAUUCAGGAACAACUGGCGAAGUGCGCGGAGAACAGCCCCUCCUACACCGGCUCUGGCAGCAGCUCGAGUGACUCACACGAUGACAUGGUCCCCGGCUGCGUUCCGCGCGUCGGCAUCGACAACCUCACCGAGCUGGUGAUGCCGGGGAUGCCUUACAGCAACUAUAACAUCACCGUCUUCAUCCCGGAAAGCCUGCACUACAACUUCAGCAUCUCGCGCUGCCUCGAUGGCACCGACUGGACAAACGUCACGGAUUACUUGCAAAAUGCGACGACAACGCGCACUCGCAAGUGCGGCACCGGGUGCAUCGUUAGCAUCGCCGUGGUGUCUGCCGUGGUGGCGGCGAUUCUGGUGGUGGCCAUAGUCAUCGCGACCUCGAAGCGGCGGCGCCUCGCCACCGUCGUGGCGCCGGCUUUAACCGUGGAGCCGAAGUUUGCCAGCACGCUAGAUAUGGGCAGUGAGGAGGGAAGCCGUAACCCACUGAACGGGUAAGCAAGAACAAAAAAAAAAGAAGCCUCGCCCCUCGCCCCCUCCCUGGAGAGAAUGGCUCCGUAGAAGGAACUCGCGAUGAGCACGAUACCAUUCACUGAUAAAGGUGCGACUUCGCGUGUGUGUGUGUGUGUGUGUGGCGGAUACGUGCAUCUCCUGCUUGAUGUCUCUCUUUUCGUUCUUCGCUCUGUGUGUCUUUCUGCGAUGGUUUCUUAGAGUAUCUUCGUCAUUGAGAGCGACCUCAUCUGCACGCGUGCGGGCGCGUUUUAGCUGUCGCCAAUCCUUUGGUCUCUCUCUCUCUCUCGCUCUCUCACUCAACUUCUGUGUAUGCAUCUUUCUCGUCGCCCUCGUAGACGCGGUUGUGUGCAGCACGCGAAGCUACUGCUGCUAUAAAAAGGGUAUAUGCUGCUUCGAUGGAGAGGGCGAGGCGUGUGAUGAACCAGUGACAUGUAUGGCACAAGAAGUGUGCGUGUAUGUGUAUACAUAUAUGUGUGUGUUGGGGGGAGGGGGGUACGUGUGUGUGUGUGUGUGUGAACAUCACAGUGUGGAGGCACGAGGCCUUUCUACGUCGGUCGAAGCCUACAUCUGCGUAGACACAGACGCAAGCACAUGCACACAUGCAUCCCUCUCCCUCAAGUACGGGCAUCGUUGCCUUCAGUAUUUUCGUGUUUUGCUUUCUUUGCUACAUCUCCUCCUCCGUUGGUGUCUUCCCUUCACACACCCCCACCCCCACCCCAAAUCCCGCCAAACCCGUCAUUGUUAUCCUGUGUUGUUGCUGCUUUCCUGUACGUGUGUGUGUGUGUGUGUGUGUAUGUCGUGCUUUUUCAAGGGGAGAAUGUCGUACGACGAGAAACAAGCAGGGAAAUCAGAAGUCCCCUCCGUAUGGGCUGCACGUCUGUGCGUAUGUUUGUGUGCCUCCAUCCCUGCCUCGCUCGCUCGCUCGCUCUGUUUGUGUGCAUGUAUCUCGUCAGCUUGCAGCUCGUCUUCUUUUCGUCUGUGUUAGUGGUGGCGGGGGGAGGGGGGAGGGUUGACGCUGCCCCGCCGCUCUUCUUCGUGGUGGGUGUUCUCUUCUCAUCGGACCCCUUUUAUGUGAGCUGGGUUGUUCUCACCAUCAUGGUCAUCAGCAACACCAUCAUCGCCGCUCUGCGUAGUUGUCGGGGUGUGCUGAUCGCGUGUUUUGCGCACUGGAGAGCUU